rnacentral:rRNA from 2 species
UAGGGAAUCUUCCACAAUGGACGAAAGUCUGAUGGAGCAACGCCGCGUGAGUGAUGAAGGUUUUCGGAUCGUAAAACUCUGUUGUAAGGGAAGAACACGUACGAGAGGUAAUGCUCGUACCUUGACGGUACCUUACGAGAAAGCCACGGCUAACUACGUGCCAGCAGCCGCGGUAAUACGUAGGUGGCAAGCGUUGUCCGGAAUUAUUGGGCGUAAAGCGCGCGCAGGCGGCCUUUUAAGUCUGAUGUGAAAGCCCCCGGCUCAACCGGGGAGGGCCAUUGGAAACUGGAAGGCUUGAGUACAGAAGAGAAGAGUGGAAUUCCACGUGUAGCGGUGAAAUGCGUAGAGAUGUGGAGGAACACCAGUGGCGAAGGCGACUCUUUGGUCUGUAACUGACGCUGAGGCGCGAAAGCGUGGGGAGCAAACAGG